UACGGAGGGGGCUAGCGUUGUUCGGAAUGACUGGGCGUAAAGCGUGCGCAGGCGGCUUUGCAAGACAGAUGUGAAAUCCCCGGGCUCAACCUGGGAACUGCAUUUGUGACUGCAAGGCUAGAGUACGGCAGAGGGGGAUGGAAUUCCGCGUGUAGCAGUGAAAUGCGUAGAUAUGCGGAGGAACACCAAUGGCGAAGGCAAUCCCCUGGGCCUGUACUGACGCUCAUGCACGAAAGCGUGGGGAGCAAACAGG
rnacentral:rRNA from 1 species